rnacentral:rRNA from 1 species
GUGGAAAGAGAAGGACGUGGAAUUUCCACCUAGUGCCUAACGGGUGAGUAACACGUGGGUUACCUACCUCUUAGAUGGGGAUACCAAUUGGAAACGAUUGUUAAUACCGAAUGUGAUCUACGGAUUAAAGGAAGCCUUUAAAGCUUCGCUAAGAGAUGGGCCUGCGGUGCAUUAGCUAGUUGGUGGGGCAACGGCCUACCAAGGCGACGAUGCGUAGCCGGCCUGAGAGGGCGGACGGCCACACUGGGACUGAGACACGGCCCAGACUCCUACGGGAGGCAGCAGUAGGGAAUUUUCGGCAAUGGGCGAAAGCCUGACCGAGCAACGCCGCGUGAGCUUUUAAGGUCUUCGGAUUGUAAAGUUCUGUUAUAGAGGAAGAACGGUGUACGUAGAAAUGACGUACAAGUGACGGUACUCUGUGAGGAAGCCACGGCUAACUACGUGCCAGCAGCCGCGGUAAUACGUAGGUGGCGAGCGUUAUCCGGAAUCAUUGGGCGUAAAGAGGGAGCAGGCGGCCUGGAGGGUCUAUUGUUAAAAGGCAGUGGCUUAACCAUUGCAAGGCGAAGAAACCGGCAGGCUAGAGUUCUAAAGAGGAUCGUGGAAUUCCAUGUGUAGCGGUGAAAUGCGUAGAUAUAUGGAGGAACACCAGUGGCGAAGGCGACGAUCUGGGAAGAAACAGACGCUGAGUCCCGAAAGCGUGNGGAGCAAAUAGGAUUAGAUACCCUAGUAGUCCACGCCGUAAACGAUGAGUACUAAGUGUUGGGGGUCAAACCU